ACUGCACUUUACUGAUUUUAAGAUGCCUAUGGCAUCUAUUUUAUCAGAAGGCUAGAAUAGGAGUGCAUAUUAGUUCUCAUUUUAUGUGGGUGUGGAUUCAGGUUGUCUAAUGGUUUUCGGAUCCAGUUCGGGUCUAUUUUUCUGGGCUGGACUAUGUCCCAAAAAAAACUAACCCAACGUAUAUACACAAUGAAGAAUAGACUCCCAAAAGAGUCGAGCCUUUAUUUCAAAUAAUAACGAAGGAAUAGACAUAGUUGUGAGCAUUCAAGUUCGGGAGGAUUGUGAUUUUGUUAGCGAUUCUCUAGGAUGGAAGAACGCAUGCUGUGCUAUCUAGUUUUUGCUGUCACGAAAGGGGCUCGCCUAGGUGUUUACUCAAUUUAGGAGGAGGCAACGAGCAGGUGUCUAAUUAUAGUUUUUCUGAGUAUCAUGGUUUCAAUAGCUACGAACACGCAUUACAGUGCUUCAAAUCGAGAAUGGCUUCCAUUGAUGCUGACAAAGUGCAAAUGCAGAAAUGUUUGGAACACAGAGCAAGAAGGGUAUGUUCUCUUCCGGCAGUAGCCGGCAGCGUGGAUUGGUUUCAUGGCUUCCUGUAAUUCCUGAAGAGGAACUAAACCCUGUUCCUGACUUUGCCAUAGCCAACAACAUGGAGUCAUGGCUAGUGAAGAUUUGCCAUGAUUCUGAAAUACCUGGUCCAUGCUUUUUCUAGUAAGAAAAAUUUCUGAGAGAGUCUACUCCGUUUUAUGGAUUCAUAGUGGUAUUUCCUGGCAAUCCAUUUGAAGCUGCUAUGGUUGCAAAUGGUCAUUUUUCUUUGGUUGAAAAGGCUGCCCGUGAAGACGCAGCUUUGGAAAUAGUUGGUCGAGUACUAGAAACCACUGAUAAGGAGAUUCGCGAUUAUAACUACUUCAAAAUUAAUCUACUUCGCAACUCAAACAAUGCAUUCAAGGCAAAGCUUAGCCAGCUCGAAGAUGCUCACGAGAAGCUGAUAGCAAACUACGAAACCGUUGUGAACGCUCACAUCAAUGGGCAAUCUCCUUGAUUAUGUUGUUUUCGUUUUUGUUUUGCCAAGGGUUCUAUAAUUAACUUAAUGGGUUGAGGUUAAGGUAUUUAUAUUUUCUAAUUGUUUGGUAUGUUGUAUUUGGUGCUUGAUGUUUUUUUUUGGCAAUCUCCUUGAUUGUGUUUUCAAUUUUGUUUUACUAGGGGUUCUAUAAUUAACUUAAUAGGUUGAGGUUAAGGUGUUUAUGUUUUCUAAUUGUUUGGUAUGUUGUAUUUAGUGAUUAAUGCUGCAAUGGAGUAGUUAAUUAACAUGAAUUUGUUUAACUUGUCAGUUC